GAUGAAGAACGUAGCGAAAUGCGAUAAGUAAUGCGAAUUGCAGAAUUCCAGUGAGUCAUCGAAUCUUUGAACGCACAUUGCGCCCUUUGGUAUUCCGAAGGGCAUGCCUGUUCGAGCGUCAUUAUCACCCCUCAAGCCCUCGGCUUGGUGUUGGACGGUUUGGUGGAGGCCCCCUCGGGGGCUCCUGCCCCUCCCAAAGACAAUGACGGCGGCCUCGUUGGACCCCCGGUACACUGAGUUCUUCACGGGACACGUAUCGGACACAUGGGUUUACGGGACACGGUCUGCCUCCCCUCUGGGAGAAUCUUUCUAAGGUUGACCUCGGAUCAGGUAGGGAUACCCGCUGAACUUAAGCAUAUCAAUAAGCGGAGGA
rnacentral:misc_RNA from 1 species